UCAAGAUUGUGGAAAACAGCGAACACAGCAAAUGUGCGUGUUCCUUCGCCUUGUCUCACAGUGGAGAAAAACAUUUGGCCACGACUUGUUGCUAUGCAACCGUAACGCCACCCGCCAGAUUCAGCACCACAACAUGUCUGAAAGAAGAAUGCAUGCGUUGAGUCAAUACCCAUGUCAUCCAAGGCAGAAAGGUCUCAAGGAGGAAGAUCUGUGAGACGUCCAGCCUCUUGUCUCCUCAAAGAAACCAUCCACGAUAGACCUACUUGCUAAAGAGGAGGAAUACAAAUGUAUAAAUGCAGAGCUGGAGGCAAAAACAGCUGAACUAGUAAGGCAAGCGGAACAGGUUAUGAGUGACCAAAAUGAAGUCCUGUCAAAGCCAAUCUCUUUCCACCUUGAUGUUGACAUUGAGGAUGAGGAGGAGGAUUUCAGGAAUGUGAACAUGCUGGAAUCUUCAGUUAUGAAGUCCACUUCUAAGGCAUCUGCAGUUGAUGAUGUUGCGGUUCUUGAAGAUCGUGUGGAUUUUUCCUUGGCUAAAACAAUACGUAGACAUUGA
rnacentral:lncRNA from 8 species